UGGGGUAUAGCUCAGCUGGGAGAGCGCUUGCAUGGCAUGCAAGAGGUCAUGGGUUUGAAUCCCACUAUCUCCA
rnacentral:tRNA from 1 species